GACUGUCGAAUCGAACCUUAGAAUACGUGUCAAUCUAACAAGUCAUUAUUCCCCCGGUAUUCUAAGGUUAGAUUCGACGGUCAUGGGUUAUGUUAUGUUCUUUGAGAUUGCGUUUGUUUCGCACUCGGCCGACUUUGGCGCUGUAGGUUUCUCUGUGUUGCCAACGUAACUGUCUAGUGUAAAAAAUUAGCCGUCUCAGAUUCAUUGUCCCCAAGUGUGCAUCA
rnacentral:lncRNA from 1 species